AUGUGGGUGCAGGAGUGGAAGCCGGUGAUGGGAAUGCUGGCCUUCGACCUCAUCUCUGCUGUGAUGACGGCGCUGGUGAAGAAGGCUCUGGAGCAAGGGCUGAACCGCCUGGUCCUCGUCACCCUCCGGCAGCUGGUCGCCACCAUCUUCCUUGCUCCAAUAGCCUUUUUCAAAGAACGGAACACGAGGCCCAAGCUCACAUUGGAGAUCCUGGUGUACCUCUUCUUCAGCGCCGUGUUUGGCGCGGCGCUCUCGCAGUACACCUUCUUCUAUGGCCUGCAGUACACCACCGCCACCUUUGCUAUAACCUUCAUCAACCUCUCUCCUGUGCUCACCUUCCUCAUCGCCGUCGUGAUGAGGAUGGAGCCGCUGAAGUUGAAGAGCAUGGCGGGAGCUGCGAAGAUCACCGGAACGCUCACGUCGCUGGCCGGCUUGCUGCUGCUGAGUCUCUACAAGGGUGUGCCGCUGACGCACCAGGCCGCCACUUCUGCACCUAGCCCAGCUGCUCACCAUGCAGCACCCUCUGACAGCAGUGGCAACAGGAGCUGGAUGCUGGGCACCAUCGCGUUGCUGUUCAACUGCCUGUGCUUCUCCUUCUGGCUGCUACUGCAGACAAAGCUGACCAAGAAGUACCCGGUCAUCUACUCGAAUACUGCCAUCAUGUUCUUCAUCAGCACUCUGCAGGGCGGGGCGGUCACCUUGGCGAUGGAGAGACACGUGUCGCUCUGGAUGCUGACCAGCAAGCUGGAGAUCGUUACCGUCUUGUAUGCAGGGAUAGUCGGAUCUGGAGCCGGGUACCUGAUAAUGACGUGGUGCGUGGAGAAGAAGGGCCCGGUCUUCACCGCAGCCUUCAUCCCCAUGAUGCAGAUUAUGGUAGCCAUCAUUGAUUUCUUCUUCCUCCAUGAACAAAUCUACCUUGGAAGCGUGCUAGGAUCUGUACUGAUGAUACUGGGGCUCUAUCUUUUGCUGUGGGGAAAGAAGAGGGAUGAAGCAUCUGUAUCUUGUACCACUACCACUGACAAGCAAGUCGACGAACCAGCUGACGACAAGCCGUGA
rnacentral:rRNA from 1 species